GUCGGGAAUUUUGGGCAAUGGGCGAAAGCCUGACCCAGCAACGCCGCGUGAAGGAUGAAGUAUUUCGGUAUGUAAACUUCGAAAGAAUAGGAAGAAUUAAUGACGGUACUAUUUAUAAGGUCCGGCUAACUACGUGCCAGCAGCCGCGGUAAUACGUAGGGACCAAGCGUUGUUCGGAUUUACUGGGCGUAAAGGGCGCGUAGGCGGUGCUGUAAGUCACUUGUGAAAUCUCUGAGCUUAACUCAGAACGGCCAAGUGAUACUGCAGCACUAGAGUGCGGAAGGGGCAAUCGGAAUUCUUGGUGUAGCGGUGAAAUGCGUAGAUAUCAAGAGGAACACCUGAGGUGAAGACGGGUUGCUGGGCCGACACUGACGCUGAGGCGCGAAAGCCAGGGGAGCAAACGGGAUUAGAAACCCGAGUAGUCC
rnacentral:rRNA from 1 species